ACUCAAAGGAAUUGACGGGGACCCGCACAAGCGGUGGAUGAUGUGGAUUAAUUCGAUGCAACGCGAACAACCUUACCUACCCUUGACAUGUCCGGAAGUCUGCUGAAAGGUGGAUGUGCUCGAAAGAGAACCGGAACACAGGUGCUGCAUGGCUGUCGUCAGCUCGUGUCGUGAGAUGUUGGGUUAAGUCCCGCAACGAGCGCAACCCUUGUCCCUAGUUGCUACGCAAGGGCACUCUAGGGAGACUGCCGGUGACAAACCGGAGGAAGGUGGGGAUGACGUCAAGUCCUCAUGGCCCUUAUGGGUAGGGCUUCACACGUCAUACAAUGGUCGGUACAGAGGGUCGCCAACCCGCGAGGGGGAGCCAAUCCCAGAAAGCCGAUCGUAGUCCGGAUUGCAGUCUGCAACUCGACUGCAUGAAGUCGGAAUCGCUAGUAAUCGUGGAUCAGCAUGUCACGGUGAAUACGUUCCCGGGUCUUGUACACACCGCCCGU
rnacentral:rRNA from 1 species